GAUGAAGAACGCAGCGAAAUGCGAUACGUAAUGUGAAUUGCAAAUUCAGUGAAUCAUCGAGUCUUUGAACGCACAUUGCGCCCCCUGGUAUUCCGGGGGGCAUGCCUGUCCGAGCGUCAUUGCUGCCCUCAAGCACGGCUUGUGUGUUGGGCCCCGUCCUCCGAUCCCGGGGGCCGGGCCCGAAAUGCAGCGGCGGCACCGCGUCCGGUCCUCGAGCGUAUGGGGCUUUGUCACCCGCUCUGUAGGCCCGGCCGGCGCUUGCCGAUCAACCCAAAUUUUUAUCCAGGUUGACCUCGGAUCAGGUAGGGAUACCCGCUGAACUUAAGCAUAUCAAUAAGCGGAGGA
rnacentral:misc_RNA from 1 species